UGCUGGUUGCAUACUCACUGACACAUUUCUUCAUCAUAACAAAUUACUUAAAUAUCUCAAAUCCCUUUUUGAACUGAUGAAACGCAAAUAGCACACCGAGGAAUUAUUUUGUAGGUGUUAAAAUGUAUGUUUUUUUAACAUAUUCAUUUUUAUGUUAACAUAUAGAUAGCUGUAACUACCUGUUAAGAUUAGGUUAUGUACACAUAACCUAUUUACUCAAUAUUAAUUAAAAUAUCUACGAUUUCUUUUAAAACACCUUCUAGAGUACGCCGAAUUGAAUUUUUAAUAAUUUACAUUCAUUAAUCUCAGCAAAAAGUACUCACUGGAUUUAAAAAAAUUAAUUUUAUAUCAACCUGUGGAUGGAAGGAUUUAUUACAAAUUUAUUAUGAGAAAGUUUACAAUCACCAUUUUAGUUCCAAAAGUCCAUCAAGCAGAUCUAUCCAAAUCUAACAAAAUUAUUUAGAAAUAACCUUAAACAAGGAGAAUUUUUUGGUAGUUAUGGCUGGGUACCAUCCAUGUUCAGUUUCUGGGUGUAAGGACAAAAAAUCUAGUCGACACUUAUUUCCAAAUCCAACAAAGCAGUCAGAGAGAUAUCAUGAAUGGGUUAAAGCUACUGGAAAUCUAAAAUUACUCACAUUAGAUCCCAAUAGAGUGUACAGAUCCUACAGAGUUUGUCAUAGGCAUUUUACUGAUAGUGAUAGAACUACAAAUAUGUAUUUAACAAAAACUUGUGUACCUUCAUUGUAUUUACCAGAGGCGAUUGAUUUAUCUAUUUCUAAUGAAAUUGAUCCUUUGGACACCACUUUGGAUGAAGAUGAUGUACCACUAAGUAAAAAGUUGCGUCUUUCACCUUCAAUGACUUCACCAUCAGAGACAUUACCAUUAUCAAUCAACAAGCCUAACAGUUUUGAACACAUAAUCAUAGAACCUCCUAUAUCACUAGCAUCAACAUUCAUAACAGAAGUUAAAAAAGAACAAGACUAUUCAUCAUCAGAGGAAGAUGAACAAAAUCAAAUAGAAACUAUAUCAACAGAUGACCUUGAAAAAUUGAUACAUUACUGGGAUGAGUUUCAGUCUUUAGCUAAAAAAUGGCACCCCAAUAAAACUGAUGUUAACAAAAUAUGUGACAUGGUUGAAGAUAAAUGUUUAAGUCAUUUUAAAGAGAUUAUAAGAAAAAGGCAGGUUCAAUCAGGUUUGGGGGAGUAUUUUUCUCCAUCAUAGGAACAACACAUUCACAUUGUAUAUCUUAAGCAUUUAUAUUGUCUGGAUACAACAUUAGUACAUUCACAGCUCAGAUUUUAACUGGCCAAAAAUUUGGCGAAUGCAAAAGUGGCUGUGAUAAUGGAAUUAAUAUAGAUUAUGAGGAAGAAUCUGUUAAAAGGGAUCAAAUAAAACUUUAAUUAAGUUUUAAAUAAAUAUAAUUUUAAAA